GAACAUUAUGCCUGGAAUGGUUUAUGUUUCAAAUAAUUUAUUGCCGUAGGAUGGGACUGCGGCCUAUCAGUUUGUUGGUGAGGUAAUGGCCCACCAAGACUAUUACAGGUACGGGCUCUGAGAGGAGUAGCCCGGAGAUGGGUACUGAGACACGGACCCAGGCCCUAUGGGGCGCAGCAGGCGAGAAAACUUUGCAAUGUGCGAAAGCACGACAAGGUUAAUCCGAGUGGUUUCUGCUAAAGGAACCUUUUGUCAGUCCUAGAAACACUGAUGAAUAAGGGGUGGGCAAGUUCUGGUGUCAGCCGCCGCGGUAAAACCAGCACCUCAAGUGGUCAGGAUGAUUAUUGGGCCUAAAGCAUCCGUAGCCUGCUUUGUAAGUUUUCGGUUAAAUCCAUACGCUCAACGUAUGGGCUGCCGGGAAUACUGCAAAGCUAGGGAGUGGGAGAGGUAGACGGUACUCGGUAGGAAGGGGUAAAAUCCUUUGAUCUAUUGAUGACCACCUGUGGCGAAGGCGGUCUACCAGAACACGUCCGACGGUGAGGGAUGAAAGCUGGGGGAGCAAACCGGAUUAGAUACCCGGGUAGUCCCAGCUGUAAACUAUGCAAACUCAGUGAUGCAUUGGCUUGAUGCCAAUGCAGUGCUGCAGGGAAGCCGUUAAGUUUGCCGCCUG
rnacentral:rRNA from 1 species